CUACUUCUCUGAGUGCACGUAAAGCUCUUUUGAGGUGAUGGAUGUGAGUUGGUGGUGAUCCAGGAAAUGCCUCUGGGGUAUGAAAGUGAGACACUCAUCUUGUGUAUGAGCCUAAGGACUCUAGGGUGAACAGUUCACAAGGACUUUUUCACCUGGGAUCCAUGGUGGGAGUUCCUGGAAGAUCUUUGGGUCCUGCCCCUUACCCUGGUCUCAGAUCUUUAAACCGUGGUCAAAAUCCUCAGGCUGAAUGUGCACCUGGACACUUCCUCCAGGAUCCUUCAGUCCAGGGAGUUCUGAAGUCAGGGUCGCAGGUGGAGGUGGGUGUCGAUACCUCAGGGAGUGCCGCAGGUCAGGGGCCUGAAUCAUCUAGACCAUUUAGGUGAUUUAGAGGCAAGACUGGCAGGCCCCACACUUGACCAGCUGACUCGGCUGUAAGAGAAUGUCCCGUCCCUCCCUCCUUGAUGGACCUCAUUGCUCUCUCCUGGGAGCCUCAGCCUGGAACCCAGUGAGGACAUUUCUCUCCUCCCUGUGCUGCCUGAGCCCCUCUGUCUCUGGCUUCUGCCUCCGCUGAGCUCGUCCUGUGCGUCCUCAGGUUACUAUGGAUAAUGCUGCUAUGAACAUUUGUGAACAAGUUUCAAUGGGACACGUGUUUUCAUUUCUCUUGGGUAUAUACGUCAAAGUGGAAUUGCUGGUUCACUUGAUGACUCAACAGUAAACACUUAGAGGAACUGCCAGACCAUUUUCCAAGUUUCCUCAGGCUUCUCUGGUGGCUCAGUGCUAAAGAAUCUGCCUGCCAGUGCAGGAAACAUGGGUUCGCUAUCUGGUGAGGGAAGAUCCUGCAUGCUGUGGAGCAGCUGAGCCCAUGUGCCACAACUAGUGGGUCUGUGCUCCAGAACCCAGGAACUGCGACUACGGAAGCUCACCUCCCACAGCUACUGAAGCGUGUGUGCCCUGAGCCCAUGCUCUGCAACAAGAGAAAAGCCCAUGCAGCAGUGAAGACCCAGCAGAGCCAAAAAUAAAGAAUAAAUAAAUUUUAAAAAGUUAAAAAAAUUUCCUCAUUAAAAGGGAGUCCUCAGGUUGGGGCUAUUCUGGGGAAAGGUGUCACCAUGCACAACAAACUAACUUUAUUAUCAUUUUUUUUUCAAACUAACUUUAAAAAGCAUGUUGAUUAAAAAAAAAUGUGAGUGCACUUGGGAAUUCCUUGAAUUCUGUGCAAUAAACAUUUUUAAAACAAAAAAACAGCAAAAAAAAAAAAAAAAGACCCUAGCUGGGCUGCAUAGAUUGGAGCAGCCCCUCUUGUUCUCUGUCUGAAAAUGGUUCUCUGUUGUUUGAGAACAGCUCUUAAGCACACAGGAGAGCCCCACCUCAGGCUCUUUAUGUUGACACCAUGUUCACUCAUCAAAUGUUUACUGAACACAGUCUGGGCCAGGCACUGAGCUAGGCCCCACAGCCUCUGCCCUCAUAGAAACAGCAGUCUAGACCAAAGGUUGGCAAACUCUGUAAAGGGACAGAUAA
ensembl:lncRNA